UUUCUUAAGAAGCCACAUAUAUACUGUAUGCCUAUGCAAUUCGUAGUAUAACCAUAUGCUAUAUGUAGAGAUUAGUAGUAUAAUAGCAGUUGUUGACAUGUUGCUUAUGGGACAACUCCUUAUUAAUUAACUGAAGCACGAUAUGUGAAAAUUAAUCGAGCAAAAUGAUAUCCAUGAAUUGACUCAGUUAUUUCAUGAGCUUGGUCCUAAUGGUGCAUAUUCAAAGGAUUUCUCCAUCUUUAUUUUGAUCAUGCGUGACAGUGUUUAUCGUCUUCGUGUCAUUUCCUUCAAUCUGGAAUUAGUCAUGGUAGUUAUGUUGAUUGCUCACUGGCAUUGCAAUGUCCAAAUUAGUGAGUAAACAAGUUCAUCCAACCAGACUUCCUGUCUUUUUUCCUUCAGUGUUUUUUAGCCUAUAGAGUUCACUUGUGACAAAUGGAGACACCACUUUUGGUUAUAUUAUAAGACAUCCAUCUGGUCAACUUACUGGAGUGGUGUCUACCUAGCUGUAGAAGUACCAUGUUCCACUAAGUCCAUACUGCAGCUCGAUUCAGUUAUGGUGUGUAAAAUAAAACAUAUCACCGUAGUUUUUGUCUGAUUGCUUAUUCAGUUUGCAUCUUGAUAUUUAUUUUUAUUUUUCAGUAAAAAUAUGUCCUGACCGCGCUCAUCAUCCUGUAAUCAGUACUGCUGCAUCGCCCAGCAAAGCGAGCAAGGGGCACACCAUCUUCAUACUUCCUCCAUUCCAAUGAAUAAGGAAUGCACACUUUUCAAGGUUCACCUUUGACCUACAGAUCCGAUGGAACUAAAGAGACAACGUGCUAGGGAGCGGUAUGUUGCAGAUGGAUAAACAAAAGAAAGAUGAACACUCAAGAAGCGUCGUGGAGGUGGAGCCUAUCUCAAAAGAAAGCUCGGCCAGGUUUUCAUCCCCAAGAGGCGACAUUACAUGGAACAAGGAAAAUAUGGUUCCUGGCGAAGAUACUGAAUGGCUAAGCAGAAAUGGCACGCACAUGAGGAGAAACAAUUCAUCUUGCCAUUUGAAGGGGAAUUUAACCUAAAAUCUUCAGUGUUUAGUGUGUGUCCUUCGAUGGCUGCCUUUCAUGCCAGGUAGCUUCUUGCAGGAGACCAGCUAUAGGCGCUUGGAGAUGGGGUGAGCAUCGAGCGACAAGUGCUGCAGCUAUGCUUCAACGA